rnacentral:lncRNA from 1 species
UGGGGAAAGUUUUUAUUUUUGUUGAAUAUACUUUGGCAUUUCGUUUUGUUACAACAAGCAAGAAGUCAUUUUGUAAAUUUUAAAAGUGAAUAUAUAAAGAAAAUAUUUAGUCCUUAUCAGAUCAACUCAUUAACUCAUUAGCUCAUUAACUUAGCACCUACUGUGACCCCACAACUGUACUCUAUGCCACCAAAAACAUAAAAGAAAAAACUUCUGUCCUUAAGCAUCAUAAUCCAGUAGAGGAGCCUAUAUGUAUGGAUAGUUUACAAAUAUUUUUCAAAUUCUAGCAGUCCUUUCUUUUUCAUAAGUAAAAAACAACUGUCAUUAUUUUAUAGAUGAAGGAAGGUGACAUGCAGAGAAACUGAUGCCAGCAAGUGAGAGAACUCUAUUGUGAUUCCAAAUCCAGGAGUUUCUCUACCGAAUGCUGAUGGAAUCUACUCCAAAGAUUGACCAAAAAUCAUGGACAAGACCCGGCUAUCUUUCAUGGAGCAUUAGCAAUGGCAAAGAACUUAGAAAUCCUCUCUUUUGACACUUCCAUUUUAAAGACAGGAAACUGAAGCCCAGAAAGUCCUGAAGGCUGUCAUAACUGGUGAUUAGUGGCAGAGCUGGGACUUGAAUCUACUACUCUUUCAGCCCAUCCAUGCCAUGCUUAUCAUUAUGAAUGACCCAGUGAAACAUCCAUAUAGCAUUCCUCAGUGCCCCACUUUACCAGGAAGGUGCUCUCAUCAAUUGCAAUCUGACCUAAGCAAAAUUCUCACUGGUUCAAUGUUUCUGCAGACUGGCAUUAAUGGAAUAGGCAGUCAUGCUCAUCUAAUCAUGUCUUUCUUUAAAUAGCUUGGGCUGACAUGUUGUUUUCUGUCCAGAAGAUAGAUAGGCAAACACCAGCACAACUAGCAUUUAUCAAGUAUCUAUUAUAGGGCCCUCAAUGAGAUUAGGGUUUUUGUUUGCAUUAUUUUAACAUUAUCUUUAAUAGUCUAUGAGGUAUUGAAGUCUAUCUUAUAGCUAAUAAAUAAUGGAACCAAAGGCUAAAAUCCAGGACUUUUUUUAAAAAAAGCUAGGUCUAGGGCUCUUUCUCUGUGUUUUGCCUUCCAGGGUACGGCAGAAAAACCACUGAAUUUAUCCCAAAGACUGUAGCUUCUUUAGAAGCAAAAUAUGCCAAUAAAAUCUCGGUUUCCAGAGGGGGAGUCAAUGGAAAUCAAAUAAGAAUGUAUUUCAUUCUGUCAUCUCCUGACCUAUAAAACAGAGUUAGAAGACCAGACUCCUGGAGAGUUGCUGCCAUUAGGCCUUACAGGAGUCUCUGCUCAUUUCUCGUUGUUCCAGAUUUUUCAAUCUUGUCUUCAGGCCAGUUUCUUGAUCUCCUCUCAUCACAGCAGCACUCCAUCCUGUCCAAGCAUAAGAAAUCUGUGCUGUCUUGGACAGAUGACAGAACUUAGACUUUAAACCACUGAUUUUUUUGUGGUGGGCAUUUAGGAGUGCUAAAGCCAAAAAUAGAUGCUCAUUUAAAUCUAAGGGUUACUCUCCCAUCUUCUCACUUCCAUCUUAAUGUCACCUAGUUCUAAUCAGGGUCUACUGCUUAAUGCAGUAAGAGAAAAAUGAUGUUUUGUUUACAAUAGCAGGUCCCAUUGUGACUGUGUUCUUGUAGUGCAACUCUUUUCAAAGCAAAGUUUUCCCUGAGAUAGUGAGCUGAAAUAAAUAUAUAUCCCCUACUGCUGAUUCUUCUUUAUUUUUUUCUCUAAACAGAAAGGACAGUGCCAUUGAAAGCAUAAAAUGCACCUAAAAAAAUAUUCUUCAGUAAAGCCCAAUAGAAUCAAGGUGUGACAUCCCCAAGAACAGCCAAGUCACAAAAGAGCUAGUCAUGCUGAAGGCCAAGUUAAAUAACCCAUAAUUUUGGAUCUCUGGGUCCCACUAGCACCCUUGAGUGUGGGCUUAUAAAAUUCCUGAACGGGCAAGACGGCCCCUGUUGAAUCUUGCUUGACUUGGCCCCUUCAUGGGUAACUCUUCUGUGAUUUGGCUUUCCCCACACAUCUCACACCUUCCCACAAGUGACCUUUUCACUCUGUGCUUGGCUUUUCUGUGGUGGGUUAAGUGUCUGCACACAUUCACAUCAUCAUGUUCCCGAUGUGAAGAUGACAUGGUCAUACAUGCUAUUGAUCUCCAAAUAUUCAAAGGACAUUGAAGCUCUGCUCAGGCUCCUGCAGUCUUUUCUGGGAUAAGUAUGGAUAUAAGGAUAUGGCAAGAUGAUGAAUGCCCUACGUAUAUCUAUUGUUCUGAUUUGCGUAGCCCCUUGAGCUGCACAGCACUUCUUAUAAAAGUGAGCUUCCACAUGUCUAAUGGUGCUUAGUCCCUUAGACUCUAAAUCUUAGACCAUGUGUUGUUAUUUCAUACCACCCCAGAGCCAUUUCCUCUUAUAUAAAAUUUCCAGAAAUCCAUAGGCAUACUGCAUCACGUGGCAGUGGGCUUCUGCAUUUCCUUGGAGCAUUAUGACAGGCCACUCUAAUUAUAAUCACUGGUUGUCAGCUUAUCCUCUGUCUGUGUUAAGCAGUCUCACUUUCAACUACUCAUCGUCAUCUCCAGAAAGCCUCCCCUGAACUUUAGGCUGACCCAACUGCUCCCAUAGUAUCCAUAUUUACCUCUAUUUUGGCAUUUCCUCACUACAGUAAUUGUUUCUAUUUUUGGUCUGUCACCACAAUAGACACAUUAGAGCUCCUAAGUUGGAUGGACUAGCUCUCACUUAUCUGCAUAUUACCAACACUUAGCACUAUGUCCUGCAGAAAAUAUACAUUCAGUACAUAUUGGUGAGCCAUUGUUGAAGGUUUAGUUGAAUGGGUUAAGGUAAAAAUUAUUUCCAGGCCUGUGAAUUAAUUCUAUUCCAGAACUCUUUCUGUUGCCAAUAUUAGUGUGAUGAAAUAUUAAGUAUGACUUGUGUUGACACUCAGACAGAAGGACAUAUGGCCCACUAGAAUUGUCACUGCAAAAAGGCUAAUUAGUUUAACUCUCAAAGGGUAACUUUAUUUACCAUGCCUUUGUUGGAGGGGAGGUGUUGAAAGAAUGACUGACUUCCCCAUGCUUUCACCUUGUAGGAGACAAGGAAUUUGGCGGCCACAUAGAUUGGCCUUUAGUUUUGCCUAUACCUCAGUAUCCUUCAGUAUUAUCUUCCUUAAAUCUUCCCAAAAGUCUGUAUAAGGUUUCAUGGACAUUACCAAACUAAACUGCCUGAUAAGACGUAUGUACCCCUCAACCUCUGUUUCAACUUUUUAUCUAUCGUCUUCCCACCCUCCACUGAAACGCAAGCAUGCCUUUGUCUCAGAUAUAGACUGGGAGCCCAAGAGAUAAUCUUUACCAAUCUCAGCAUCUCCAGUUUUCUCUGUUAAGCUACAUGGUAAAGAUGUCCCUGAGAGACUAAGUCUGGGGAAUUUUUGUAUACCAGAGGUUUGACCAGAAAACUGAGAUUUUUCCAACUCUGGAUCCUUUGGCUUUUGCCCUGAUUAUUUUACUAGGGCCUUACUCUUCUCUAAUUCUUAACAGUUAAUAAAAAGUCUUUCUGUUGCCAUGGUUGAGAACAAUGAGCCCUUGUCAGGAUAAGAUUUGGAGAGCUUUAAUGAGAAGAUGUAUGUAAGCCCAUGUUGCAAAGAGACAAAACAAGAAUACAGAAAAAAGGCUCUGUUGAUGAAGCAAAAACCCUCCUGAGACCAGCACACUCUGGAAAUGGAAAAUGGAACCAGUGGCAUUUUGCCUAUUUGUUCUGGGCACCAUUCUGGAUGAAGGGAUAGCUAAUUUUUCUCUGUGAAGAUUAAUUAGUGAUGGGACCCAAGAUAGUUGUUGUUGUAGAGGGUGCCUCACCCUGUGAGCUUCCUUUCUGAGGAGCACCACCAGCAACACCCUUAGGUCAAAGGCCUGAGCAUUGUCACAGAGUUAGACAAAGCCUAAUUCCAGAAGCUUAGUCUAGAAGCCAUGUAUGAAUAUAGUUUCCAAACAGACUGAAUCUUUGGGGACUGCAAAUAACAUUACAUGUUCAGGCCUUCCACACUCCUGCCUUGAGGUAGGAAGUAUUAUGCAAAGACCUGCAAAAACUACAGGCUGAGUGGAGUGUGAUCCUGACACUCUAGAGAUGACUUCCAUAUGCAAGUCAUACUUGAGCUCUUUCUGAAUGAAACCAAACAAGAGGUGAUUCCUGUUAUACUACAAGCUUAUUUAAGCCAGGGAACAUGGCUUGUGUAGCAUUCUCAGAAUUUUGCCCAGGAAAAGAAAUAUUUUCUAAAAGUCUGCCUUAUCAAAUAUUAAUGGUUCUAACCUCAGAUUGCCUGAGUGUGACCUUUGGCAAGAUUCUUAGUCUUUCUGCAUUUUUCUCUCACCUAUAAUGUGGGUAUAAUAAUAAUACUGUCAGCUUCAUAAAGUCGUUGGGAAUUAAAUAAGACAUGGUACUAACUAAGGCACUUAAGCUGGCAUGAAUAAGCACUUGAUAAAUGUUUCUUGUUUUAUACUUAUCACUUGAGAAAAGCUUACUCAGCAUUUUAUAAAUCCUCAAGAUCUUUUAGGAGAACGGGAAGGAAUCCUACUAAAAGAUAUAUCUCACAGAUGAACCGAACCCCAGUGGGGCAAAGUUAACUGUUCCAGAUUGCUUUGCAAAGCAUCUGAGAAGCUGGGACUAGAAAUUAGCCUUAUCUUUGACUGCUGGGUUUAUAGGAAAAGCAGAUUGAGAUUGGCUCAGGCUAGGUUGGCUCAGGGGCUGGCAGAAGCUCCCUAAUGCCUAACAAAUUUGUUUCCUCUUCUUCCUAUGCACUCAGCUAGACUAUAUUGCCCAGUUUCCUUUGCAGUUAGGUGUGGUCACUGGAGUUCUAACCAUUAGAAUAGAGAGGAAGUCAUGCAUCAAUACAAGACUGGGCUUAUGAAUAUCUCCCAUGUACAAGUUUUUAUUCUUUCUCCUCAUAGUUUAGCUGAAUGGAGAGGUACUGAGCUAAGUGCUGAAGAUAUUGGAGCCAUCAAAUGGAAGAAGAUUGUUUUCCUAAAUCAUUGCUUGGAGAAGAGCCACUCAAUGAGAAAUUCCAUGUUGAGUUGUGAGAUGAGUGAGAAAUGAACAUUAUUAUGUUAAGAUUUGGAGAUUUAUCUGUUACCUCAUCUAGAGACAGCCUAAGAGAGGCUCUACCUGCUCAUGUGUAGAGGAAGGAUGCAUGGUGUGGGCAAGAUGAGGAGAACUCCAAGAAUCUUCUUCGUGGAGUUCAAAAGCUUCCCUGAGAAUAAGAGCUGACAGAGGUUGACUUGGCAAUCCUUUGAUAGCCCCCUUUGUCCACUUUGGCUUCACUAGGUGAAAAUACUAAAAAUGACUCAAAACCCCUUUGGUUUUCUGUGCCUCUGCAGAGCCUGCAGUAAAGUGUAAUAAAAGUAGAAACUGUGAGUAGGAAGCAUCUGAAGUGGGAAAUGCCGUUAGGCUGGCCCAUAAAAGAUGAGUGCUAUGAGCAGUAAAAUGAGCUAAGAAGGAAAACAUGAUGAAUGUUUUCUCGGCCUUAAGCAGCAAGAUCCCAUUUCAGCAUCCCACGUGGCACUGUGUGCCUGGCUGGAAAAAGCAAGGGCCUCUGUGCAAAGCCUGACUCAGGGAGUGUGGCAGUUGAGCCUAACCCUGGGGCCCCGGCUGGGGGAGUAGAGUGGGGUGGAGGUGCUGGGGGUGGGUGGAGGGAUGCAACUUGAUUUCUUCAUCACCUCCCAGGCCUUACUGACGCUUUCCAUGUUGAAGGUUCCCAUUGAGACACUGGAGGAAAUCCUGAAUUGCCCAAGUUACAGAGCAAGGACACCUCACAUAGGGAAAGGGAACCCAGAGGUCAUGGUGCCAGGAACAGCAGGGAGAACUUUAUGAGAUUUGACUCAAGAAAAUGAAUAUCCUCUGCUUCAAUCCCACUACCAUAGCUCAUACCACACAGAGAACAUGUGUCUUUACUGUGCUGGCCCCCACCUCGCACCGGGACACCUUCCUCCUCCUAGGUUUAGGCAGCUUCCAUGAAUUCUUCGAAGUACGAUUCAAGUUCAACUUUCUCCACGAGCCCACGACUUUUUAUUAUAGUCCCUGUAAAUCUCAUUUUUGGAAAAAUAUAGCAGUGGAAAGGCCUGGGUUGGAGCCCUGCCUUUGUUACUUGCAAGCUCUGUGAUUUUGUGCACAUUACUAACUUCUGUAAGUUUCGGUUUCCCUAUCUCUAAAAUAGGGAUUGAAAUAUAAAUCCUACAGGAUGGCUGCAAGGAUUACAGGAUAUUACCUUGCAUAAUGUGUAAGAUGUAAUAAACACUCAAUAAAAAUUAGUUUUCUUCUGAAAUUUUGCAGCAUAUAUGGUCUUUACCACCAAUUUAAUACUUUUAUUGUUUCUUAUGCACGUAGCUUGACUCUUCAACCAGGGUAAAAUCCCCUUCUAGAACAGAAUAAUGUCUCAGAUCAUUAUAGACUACCAAGCCAUAUUUAAUAUUUUUGCUUAUUAAUUACUGUUCAUCAUUAGUCUGAUUGAUAUCAAUUGGUUGGUUGAUCAUUAGUUUUAACCUUUUACAAAGUUAGUUAGAAAGGUGCCUCUCAUCCUCUAAGAAUGUCAUGAAAAUAUGAUUUUACUCGGGCUGUGUAGAAGAUAGAUUCAUAUUUUGAAGAGUCUCUAAAUUACUCCAGUCCCAAGAAGACUUCAAAAAAUUAGUAUCAAUGCUAUACAAAGCUAUUGUAAAGACAAAAAUGCCUGGCCUACGCUGACAUAAUAACAGCUGAACACAUCUUCCAGUGACACAUGGCUGCCCUCAGCACGAGUUAGAGUAAGCCAAUUCUAAGAAAAUGGCUAUAUUUGUACUAGCUCAAACAUCACCCUCUGAGAGCAGCCCUCUUAGAAAAUCAUAUCUAAAUAAGCCUUCGUUCUCAUUGCCCAGUCAUUCUCUAUCAUUCUAUUAUUUUUAAUUUCCUCAAAGUCAUCAAUGCAAUCUGAAAUUAUUCAUUUACUUGCUAGUGUAUUCAAUGUCAGUCUCUCACUAGACCAUGAGCUCCUAAAGGCAAGAACAUGUCUGGUUGUUCAUUGCUACGUUCUCAGUGCCCAGAGCAGUGCUUAACAAAGAGCAUUAUAUAAUAUGUAUUGAAUUGAAUCUGAUGAACCUUGACAUAAGUGUGGGGAACAAAUCUCCAAUUGAUGAUCAUAAGCAAAAAAGCUUUUGUGAAAUGCAUCUUUUUGGCUGGGUUUCCUUGGGAAAACAACUCUCCUUUAGCUUACUGAAUGCAAACUGGUACAACAGAGCUUCUCUGAAAUGCUCAAAGUACUAAGCAGUGAAUCACGUCAACCAGACAGCUCUGCUCUUGGAUCUCAGCUCUCAAAACUCCCACUAAUGAAAAAAUACUCCAUAGAAAAAGAUAUUAAUCUAUAGGCUGUAAGAAAGUUCUGAAUAUCUCUAUCUUUACUAAAUUGCUCCCUGAAAUGAAAUGCUAUUAUUUUUCCUCCAAUGUUUAUUCAUUGUAGUGUCUUUUAAAAUCUUAUUUUGUUCUUAACCCACCAUUUCUUAUUUCUAUAAAAAUUCUGAGCAUCCUUAAAAGCUCAGUAGAAGUUCUGCCUCACCAAUGAAAACAAUUAACCUCUUCUUACCCUAAACAUCUUCUUUGAAUUUCCAGAGCCUUUUAUAUCAUGCACCUCAUUGUGAAUGGCUGCCUAAAAAGCUAGCCCUUUCAAGAAAGAAACCAUGGUGUGAUUUUUACUCUUCCUUAUGUAUAACGGAUGCUUGCUAGCUACUAUUUACAUUUACACUAAUCUAUUACAGAAUACUAUAUGAAGAACAAUAAACCUUUGUUAAUUUAGGUAGCUUUAACUUGGAGUAAAUAAUAUUAUUUAGCCAUGCAACCAUUUCUUAUCCUUAAAAAAAGGCUUUGGUCAACAAAUUAAACAAUAAGUAUGUAUUGAGAUUCUAUAAUAGAUCAGGAACUGUCCUAGCUAUUGAGGAUGCAAAGAUGAAUAAGAUAGCCUUUCCCCAGAAAAAUGAGCAAUUGUGGAGCACCUUAGACUAUAGAAGAAUAAUCCUUCUAGUAAACACCCCUUUGUGUAAUCAUUAUGCCAAUUACAAUGAAUGCUCACUAUUUCAUGAAAGAGAAUUGCGUAGAGCAUAUUCUUCACAAUUCUUUAUCCAGUUUGUCUUUUAAAAAACAUUUUUAUUACUUCUUCAGGUACACAUGGAAACAUAUGCCAUAAUUCAGAUGUAACUAACUUGGAUUGUUCUAAUUAACCCAAAUUACAAAAAUGUUCUGUACUUAAUAUUCUAAAUGAUUAUUGAAAUUAUUAUUCUUACUAUUGGGUGAAAAUAUGGAGAUUUUUAUGUCAAGUUUUCUGAUUGGCAUACUAUGAUUAUCUAUUACCCCAAACCUCAAAGGGUGUUAGAUCAGUGAACAAUGUUUGGUAUGCUGCUAAAUUAAAAAGUAAUAAUAAUAACCGUAAGCUUCACAUGUAGUUGUUUUUGUUAUACCAUUAUGAAACCAAGGGGUGAUGCAAGGUUUCCAAAUAGGAGUGGUUUUCUAAGUUUUGAGGCAUGUCAUUCCCAGAGAGCCUACAAUCCGUGGAGGUACUCAGUCAGUCAUUGUCCAGCUAUUUUGGCAAUGAUCUGAUGGCUAAUGGAAUUAACUAGCAUGCCACCCUCUGCAGUUAUUUAUAAAACCAGAGCAAUGAAUAAGGUUUUUGCUCUCCCAAACCAACCUCCAUUUCCAGUGAAUGGCUGUGGUGGUUGGCAACCUGAGCCCACCAAAUCAAACCCUGAUGAAAUGGGUCAGUGAGCAACCAGUGUAACUGUCCACCAGGAAACAGUCUGGAGUAGGGGCAAGAGCAAGAGGUUUCAAGUCCUGGCUCUGCUGCUUCCCAGCCACUUAAGAAUGGGCAGGUCACAAAGUUUAUCUUUUACUUCUUCAUUUGCAAAACAAUACUUCCUGGCCUGUCCACCUUUCAUGGUUAUUGUGAGGCUCCAGUGAGAUAAUAUAUGAAAGUUCUUGUAAAUGGCAUAGUCCUAGCCUCUUUAUUAGUCUAAGUUGUCAGUUGGUGCAUGACAACUCAAAACCACUCUCCCCAUGCUGCAGUGAUGCAUUCAAGGAGGAUAGUACAUACUUAUUGUUCAAUAUACCAAGCAAAAUCCAGAGGCACUCUCACCUCAAUCCCUUAAGAUAUGUCUUCUUUCCUGAUUGUCCAAGUGCCUCGUGGUACUGCUGAAUGACAGUGCUAAUUGCACAGACCCUAAGGUCAGAUUGCCAGCUCCCCACUUGGUCAAAUAUUUAACAUUUUAUGAGCUCGUUACUGGAUCUAUAAAAUGAGGAUUCAAAUGUUACCUAUCUCACAGAAUUGUGGGAGGAUAAGAUAAUCACGUAAAACACAUGAUGUAGUAUCAGGUGGCACACAGUAACAAUGACAAUUACUAUUAGCCUCACACAGGUUUCUGCAGCUAAUAUGAAGGCAAAAAUCCCAUUAGAGUCAGAAGAUCUGGUUUCAAGUCCUCGUUCCCUCUGUGACAGGCUGGAUAAUGCUACAAAUUUCAUUCAAUCUCUCUGGAAUGCAGUUACUACUUAUAAAAGGAUGCUAAUAUUCACUUCAUGGGGCCUAUAUAAAAAUCACAUAGAGUAAUAUAUAUAUAACUUCUAUACUCACUGUAAUGCACGAUGAAAAUGCACAAGGCUGUUAUUUGAUUUUUCUGUAUGAACAAACAUGCAGAAAACAAUUGCAAAGAUUUUAUUUAGCGGCUUUC